UUUGACAGUUUCUCAAGAUACAACAAAAGUUUAGCGUUUUUUCUAAAAAACGUUGAAAACAUUUAAUUUUAUUUAUUUACCAAAAUUAUAGACAUUAUUCGCGAAUGCUGAUAUAAAAGGCAUCCGUACAAUGAAUUCGACAAUAUCUGAAGAUUUAUCUAGGGAACAUUUGGCAUUGGAAGUAGCGAAGUGUACUCAAAACAUAUUCUCAAACAAUCGUAAUUUGGUUUCAUUGCACCAGGAGUUAUUGGAAAUAAACUUAUCUGUUGGUGCAUAUAUUGAGGAAAGCAAGCGUCGACUGGCAGGCCUAAGGUUGGACUUGGCUCACGCGGCAAAAGAUUCAUACAGUGUUGUGGACGUGCUCUCUGAGAAAUAAAUCACUAUGUCCUAUUCAUCACCAACUCAGCGCAAACACAACACUAGAUCAGUAUCUUUAAAUUUACAAGAAGACAAAAACAAAAGUAAUGACCGUUUACGGGCCAGAUCAUUUACAUCAUGGUACAAGAAUAUGGUAGAUCAUGAUCGGCAGAAUUUAACGUUAUACAUGUCAGAUGAUGUUAUCUUAGAAUGGUUUGGAAGAACAAUAAAAACUAGAAAAAAAGUUUGUUCAUUUUUAAAACAUGACAUGCAAUGCUCAAGACAUGAUUUUCUUACGGUUCAAAGUGUAGAUAAAAUACAGAAUCGUCAGGAAAGAUCUCCAAGUUUCAGAAAGGAGAAAGAUGCUGGCUGUAUGCAUAACUCUCCAGAACUAAGUAUUAAUAAGACAGAAAGAAAGCGACGAUUAUUAAGAUCAAAUUGUAGCAGUCCAGAGUGGGCUGAGGGUUGCCAGCCUCUCGACGAAGUAAAAGACACUGGUAAUAAAAGAUUAAAGGGAAGCAACGUUACUGCAGAACAUGAAUGCAAAAAUGGAGAUGUUACUCAGAAAAAUGGAGUUAAGAGGGGAUAUGAGUCUGAAGAAAGCAUAGAUGUUAACAGUACAGGAGAUGGAGUUAUACGGAGGCGUGUGAAACGCAAAUUAGUGCCGGUCACACCACCGAAUCGUGAGUUGGGUCAAGGAGACUGUCUUCCAUCAACAAGUGCAGAUUCAGAUAAGUCUCAUGACGCUCUGAAUGCUCAAUUGCCGAAGCUGUUUGUGGAAUGUAAUGGUUACAUUGAGUUCAGCCGAACAAAAAACAACCGUGAUGUUGAUUCAAUGAAGUGGGAAAGGAAAUGUAAAAUACAGAUCAGCUAUUCUGAAGACCCAUUGAAUGUUGGGGAGUAUAUUAUCUGGGCUGUGCACUACACCGAUGAAACCAAAUGCCGUAGGAAUCUCUUGCCAGCGUUCGAGGAGGUCGCAAAAGAAGAGGAAUUAAAAAACAAAGGUUAGCCAAAAUUACAGGGUUAUUAAACUCCAACACUCAAAUGAUAUUAUUGAUUUAUUUUAUUUUAGAACUUCAUACUUUAAAAUAUUCUUUUCUGAUAAAAUAUUAAGGUCACAAAAUUAAAUUGCAUUUCCUUUUUUUCCCUAUUUUUGAAGUGUUUAAUGAUCCUGUAAUAAAAUAACAGAAUGUUUUUGUGUUUAAAUUGUUCAACAAUGUAAUGAUUUUUAUGGUUUACCAAAUUCUGAAAUUUAUGUUGAUAUGAAAUUCAAUGCCUGGUUUUGGAAACACUCAGUUUAUUUUGUAUUUACAUAAAAAAAAACAAUAUGUCUGCAAUUUUACUAUUUGAUAGAUGAUGUGAUAUAAAGAUUGUAUUUUUGUAUAAUAUAGCAUUUAUUUUAUACUGUUUUAUAAUGUGGAAGUAUGUUUAUACUACACUGUGACAAUGCUUUAGCCUUAUAUGAAUUAUUAAAACUGCAUAGUUAAAUAUUCUAAUAGCUGUGUGCUCUCAUACAUGUUAUCUGAUAUAAGUUGUGUAUAAAAAAUAUUCAAAUUCCAUUUGAUUCCUAUAUCUUGUGCCAUUCCAAUGUUGAUUUUCAACUUGUAUAAAUGGUUUUCAUUUCAUCCAAUUAUGUAUACAUAAAUAAUGGCUUGACGUUCGUUGCAGGCCAAGGAACAUCUUUUAGAUCACAUUUUAAGUACAUACUUUACUUGUAUUUAACAAAAAAUGCCACCAGGUGGCGCCACCUUUACCCGUAUAAAAAUUCUCGUUCUAUUGCAAUUAAUUAGAUACUUAAAAAGCGUGUUCAAAAGUUCGCAUUAGCUUCGUUAACUAAUUUUUUUAAAAUCUGUCAAUAAUAACAUCAAGUUAUUCUUAUUUCGCCAUCUGAAUAAGUAUUCCCACUUCUCCGUAAUUUUUACAUUGCGAUUUCCUAUGAACCAUUCUAUUUCUAUGUACCACCGACUAGUUGCUUACUCACUAGAUAUAAUUUUUAGAUUAGUCUGACUAAAAAGUCAUAGGUAUAGAAACCUAGGAUAGGAAUCCAAAUAAUGUUGAGAAAGUUUGUAUUGUAAUACGACAGAUGAAGAUUGUUAUAAUUAUGUAGUUAUAUUCCCAUAUUAAACUACAAUGCCUUUCGACAUUGUUCAAUAGCUUUAUCUAAUGGUAGAUUUAAUUUGAAAAAUGUUAUUGUAAUCCUUGAGGGUAUGUUAUUUUCAUAAAUAGUUUACGAAAUACUAUUCUAUAGUUAAGCCUCGCGUAGAGCACUAAUUGCGAUAAUGUAUUAUUUUAGUUUAUUUUGGACUUAUCCCAUUUGUAAACUGCUGGUACAGUCGCGUCAAAUAGUGACACCCAAAGUAGCCUAAAAAUUCGCAACACGUCUUUGGUAAGGUGUUAAAUCUUUUUGCUACUUUGGGUGCCACGAACUACUUGACGCUGACCGUACAUACUGCCUUCCCUGGAGGCUUAAAAUGUCAAUGUGGUAAACAUACUAUACAACAUUGCAAUGUGGUAGCAGCCACUGUUUGUAUCUUUUCCUGCUUUGGGUGACCUCUAGCACGAAACACUUUCGACUUCGAAUCUUAUGUGUAUUUAAAUGGUAGCACGAAACUAAUAUUGGCAAUCGAGAUCGUCACGUUAUCGUUGAAAUUUUGUCGAAUACGCAAACGAGUUUUUCGUGCUAGAAGAGGUACAGAUUUCAGCUACUCCGGCAAUUCUGUUACAUUUAAAAUAUACCGUUAUAACUUUAUACCUAAUGUAAAACAUAUUAUCUGCCAAAAUAUUAGCAAUACAGAGUGUUUAUUAUUGAAAUUGUUCAUGUAUUGUGAAUGAGAUUUGCAAGUAACAAAAUGUAUGUCUAUUUUUAAGUUUUAUGUUGUUGUAGUCAUUACUUGUGAAGUAAUGGGAAUGGAUAGAUUUUUGUUUGAUUAUGCUAGAAAUGUAUAAGACGAAAAUAAAGUUUGUUUAGAUUAUA